rnacentral:rRNA from 1 species
GUGCCCAGCCGCCGCGGUACUACGGAGGGUGCAAGCGUUGUCCGGAAUCACUGGGCGUAAAGGGUGCGCAGGCGGGGCAGCAAGUCGGAGGUGAAAGCCCAUGGCUCAACCAUGGAAGUGCCUUCGAAACUGUUGCUCUUGAGUCCCGGAGAGGCAGUCGGAAUUCGUGGUGUAGCGGUGAAAUGCGUAGAUAUCACGAGGAACACCAGAGGCGAAAGCGGACAGCUGGACGGGUACUGACGCUCAGGCACGAAAGCGUGGGGAGCAAACAGGAUUAGAAACCCCGGUAGUCC